GUAGUAAACGAAUGCCUUCUGAGAGAUCUAGAGGGGAAUAGUGGAGGAUUUUUUCAAGCUGGAAACAUGAGUCAUGCCAAGGACAAUUUGUUGCUGUGAAAAAUGUGUUAGAGAUGGGAGGAGGAUUGUGUGGAAGCUACUUCUCCUUGUGUGCCCCAUACACUAACCAGUCUCCAAAUGCCAGACCCCAAAAGCUCUUCCACAAGUCACAAAUCUCCUUGUAUUCCUUUUAUUACCCCCUUUCUCUCCCCUCUUAAGAAAAAUUGUAGACUAAACUUCCAACCCCCCACAUUAGCAAUUAUCAGGAACUGAAUGCCAAACAGAUACUUCCUGUUUCAUUCGCUACUGUCCCAGUAUCUCCUAUCACUCCGUUAAAAUAAACAAUAAAAAAUAAAUCCUGGCUUAUUGUUGAGGUAACAAUGGCAACGGGAUUACAAAUCUGUCUGAACUAAUGCCUUCUUGGACCCUCAUAGAAAUACUCUGCAUCUUAUCCCUUCCUGUUUAAUCAUUGCUAGAGAACAUGAGGUUCUGGAAUUUAGGAGUGUACUGUUUUGGACACUGCUGCACACUGGACUUCAGUGUGCAUGGAUUGCCUAGUACACCCAAGGGUAAUAAUAAAUUGCCACAUCAGUAAACUGUCAAUAAAUCGUCAGAUAUGGGGUAGAAUAGGAGGAUAAUGUGCCAAUGACAGAGUGCCUUCCAGGGAUUUCUGACCUAAUUAACAGCACGAUUCUCCAUACUAGACCUGUUUGUUUCCACUUCAUGGCUGUUUGUAUGAGCACAGUCCUGUUUCUAUCUUGCACAACUAAAUUAAUGAGUAGCACAAGUUUAUUCAGAAUGGGAACCCGUGGACUAACUUAAUAGUUUGUACUUAAUGUUUAGUUGGCAUUUCUAUGUCUAUACAAAGAAUAUGUGACAAAUGCCACAAUAGUGGAAGACAUGACUAAAAUAUUGACUACUCUAAGGUAAUUCUCUUUAAUGAUAAUCGUCUUGCCUUGAGAGCUGUCAUUGUCAUUGCAUAGCUUCCUCACUUAUCUGUGAGAACUGGUCAAAGUGGAGAAGAGAACUGAAAUUAUCAUUAGUAUUGAAAAAAAACCACUAUUAGUCUGAGUUACAUCUUCCUGUUGGUGCUGAUGGCAUUCAGAUACAACUUCAGAUAGGCUUUGCUAGCUCCUACUCUUGAACUAAGAGAGGAAAUUGCAUUGUUUUUGUAUAUCUGUUACCACCUACUUUUGAUUUUGUUGCUCAGAAACAGCUAACAUUUCAGGUAAUUCGAGAAGUUUAAUGAAGGUACGCUUGACAUGGGUUAUCUUCAAACACCAGAAUAUGCUGAGAGCUUAUGUUGGACAGGACAGUAUUAAGAAUUGAAACAAAGCUGGAUGAACUGGUUUUAUGGCACAAUGAAUGCAUGUAUGUGUGUUUAUGAAUAUUGUGGAAUUUUUUAAAAGUGAAAUAAUCACCAUUUAAAAGUAAUUUUAUAUUUGUUGUAGCCUUUUGUAUUAAUUUAUUGCUCUAUACAAGCAUUUUUCAUAUUUGUUUUAUAUUUUCCCUCAGAAUUUCUAGCAGAUUUGUGGAAGCUGGAUUUUGUGGCUUCUGAACCUCUACAAUCCCUUUUCACUUAGCAAGAACCUGAGGUACUCUAUGUUGGAACCGAGGUGCAGAGAGCUGAUUAGUGGUGAUCAGCACCAGGUUAAAAUUGUAGGGAAUUCUUGAAUUUUAUUUCUGGUGUGUGCUUUGCAGUUCUGGACAAAUUGCAUCAGGGAGCUUUUCAAAUACACAGAUUUGCAGGUUUAGCAAAUGAAUUGUGAGGCAGGCUCUUAGAACAGACAAGAAAUGGGCUAACAGUGUUGCAUUAGCAACAAACAAGCCCUUUUCACAAACUGGUGGAAGGGGCUUUUGGACCUCCAUCCAGAUUUGGGAGGGGUCAGGGCUUUUGAGGCCAACCAUGGGGAUUACAGGAGAUAAGAAAUAGUUCUUUCUAAUUGCAUUGAGAGCUCUUUUAACAGAGCAUGUUGAAGUCAAAAGUACAUACAGGUAAAAAAUGACAGUAUAGUGUUGGAAAAUGGUAACCUUGUGGUUCAGUCACUGGAUAGGAAUCAGGAGUCCUUGGAUCAGUUUUUGACUUUGCCACAGACUUCCUGUGUUACUUUCAGCCAGUCACUUAAUCUCUACAUCCACCAUCUGUGAAACGACAAGGCCUGGAACAGUUUGUCUCUGAAAGCAUGGAUCUAAUUUAGCUGUUAUUAUAAAAGUUAAAUAUUAAGGAACUGUUACAUUAUCAUAGGAUAAAACCACGCCACAUCUAUUUUCACUGUGAACUUCGUUCUUUUUCUAUUACGUUCUUUUUCCUGCAGUUUUCACUGCAUGCAAAUAAGUAAAGCAGAAAUUCAGGAUGUAUGUUUCAAGAGCUGCACUUACUGACCUUGUGUCUGACGCAAAAGUAAGAGAUGCGUAUUUAAUGCUACUGGAAAGACUUCUGAGCUCAUUGUUCAAUAAAACAAAGAACAGAAACAUACAAAAUAAAUGUAAUUAGGCUCUGUGUCUGUCUGAACACAGGCACAAUGUCCUCCACAUGUAGACAUACACGCUACUGUGAAUUCUUUGUUCAGAUUCCACUAAUAUUCUUUAGAGAAGGGAAAUAGCUUAGAUAAGAUCAAUUUUCUAAUGUGUUCCCUCAGAAAGGAAAAAAGGAGUGAUCCUAAGAACGACUAAUUGGAAUGUAAAAAUUUCUGAUCUUCAGUAAAAUAAUGGAUAUGAUGUCUAGAAUGGAAAAUUUUCACUAUAUUUUGAGGACAGGUGAGUAACUAGCACCCAUUUCCCAAACUAGACUUUAUUUUCCAACUUCGUCUCUCUUCGAAUAUGCAUAGUAUGUUUGUGUUGAGGUGCUUCCAGAUAUAGGGAACACCAGUGAAUUUCAAAGAAAUCUUCACUAUUCAUUUAAUGAAACAUGGAAGCUUCCUAUUUGGUUGGCUACAUGUCCAUGUAGGGAAGAUGAUGAUGCAGACUCUUGAAAAGGUCAGCAUUGGGUUCAUUCUAAUUUUAAAUAUUUAUUAAUAAAUAUGGGAAUUGUUAAUUAUCUAGCACAAGGCUGAACUAGUAUAUCUAUCCAGCAGAAAUGCAGGGACAUCUGUAGCACAAUUACAAUGCAAAUUAACUGGCAGUGAAGGAAUUGGUGUGGAAGCAUAUGUGACAUUCACAGUCAGCAGCUUGACCAAGCUAGAUUUAUCGAUAUCUUAGUUCUAACUGAUAAGAAAUUUCUCAGCAUAACAGUCGCCUCCAAGUGAUGUAACCCUGAAAGGUACAUAUUGCCUCCCCCUUACAGCCAUAACCCAGCAAUGCAAGCUAGUAAUAGUGACCCACUAUGUUUUACAGAUGCUUAAAUAUUCCAGCUGUGAUGUGUCUACAUUGUCACAUGCACUGACCUGUAAUCCCUGGAGUAUUCACAUUACUGGAUUAAGCCAUCUCAGCUUGCUGUCUGAUGUUUUUGAGAGGUGGCAUCAUCUUUUCUCUACUGAGUAUUUGAUAUGGCCCACAGACUCAGACUGGUUACAAAUUACUAUACAGCAACAUUUUCGAGAACAUUUGUUCAGAGAUCUAUAAUGCAGAUCUCUUUCCAAAAACUCUAGAAAGCAUGCCUAGACCCAUCAAAUCAGGGCAGUAUUCAGUUGGAAAGUCACUCACCUUUACUGGAAACAAAUCAUACGUAUUCUUUGGAUUGCCUUUUGUAAUGCAGGAGCUGUUACAAACCUCAAAACCAGAGAGUUGCUUUGGCUUCUGCAGCUACCAAAAAAUUUGUACAGUUGUGUUCUCAGAUGGUUUGGCACAGAUUUAGCAGCACAGUUUUGCUCCAAGCAGCCUUUGUAUCCCUUACUUGUCUGCUGGGACAGAUGUUUGGUGAUGUCCUGAGUCUACCAUGAGUUACUCUUGUACCUUAUUGUGUUAGCAUCUUCUACAACAUAUGUUACAUUACUUUUGCUGAGAUGGGUUGUAUUUUAUAUUUGGAGUUGCAUACAGAGCCUAUUAAGAGCCGACAGGGGGCACAGAGGCCCACCUGCAGCAAUCUCAUGUCUAACAACAGCCUGAUUCAUGCAAUAACCUUCCAGAGAUGAGCAGAAGUCUCUGCUUGGAAGAGCUGUCUCAUACAGUAGUAGUGCAAUGCACUUCAGAGAAAUAUAUUAUAAUCAACCACAUAUGAUCUAGUCAGUCUUUUCUACUUCUGUUUUUUCUGAUAUAUAUGCUGAACCUUAAAUACCAUAUAACACAAAAUUCACAAUAGUAAAGCAAAGCUUCAUUUCACAUUUCUCAGAUCAAACAAAUUCUGUGCCUGAUAGUGUCACUAACGGUGGAAGGCAACAGAAUAUUUUAAUUAAAAAGCUAAAGCAAAGCAGUAAUAAUUAAUGUUAUCUCACCAAAACCACACCCAUUUCCCCUGCAGCUAAACAAAACAGCUACCAAAAAGCAAUAGAAUAAUGGAUUAAAGAUGCCUUCUAGCCUGGAAGCUUUAGACAAUACAUUACCAAUACAUGAUUCUCAGUAGGAAUUUUGCAAGGAGUAUCGUCAUUUAGAAACACAGUCAGCAGGCAUCAGUUUCAUCUUUUUUUCCUUCUUCUUUUUUUUUUUUUUUUUUUUUUUUUUGGCAUUGCAGACUGGCAGUACUUCUCUCCAGAUGUACCAUUUGGCACAUUAAGCUAUUCUUUUCUUAGAAGGGGAACCUAUGGUUUUGCCAUGUAAUGCAAAACACCAAUGGAAUCACUACAUAAGCAAAAUGCCAGUAAUGGUAUAGUGGUCCAGCCACAAACAUUGAUGGACAUGGGUGUUCUGUGGACCUUAUGGAGAUAUCAGGGCCUGCUUCUGUAAUAGGUGCCAUUCACAUGUGUUUCAGUAUAAAGAGCAAGAAGAAAGACUGGGGAAAUGAGAACAAGCCAGGGUUAAAUAUGUCAGCUCUGACUUUUGUCCAUCCACACAUUCUGAAAACAACAGCUUCUUAUUGCCUACAUAUAGAGAGCAGGGGAAGAUAAACACACUAACGGGAUCUUCUGGCAGUCCCUACACCUUCCUUGCACGUGCAAAGCUGCAGCUCUGCAGGUCAUGGGAUAAGUGGCACGUUAAGAGCUGCAUGGCGACACUUGUUUUCAUCACCACUCCUGGAGCUGUUCUGGAGCCGUAAAGUUAUGCAACUGACAUGUCCUCCACAAGGAGUAGAGGUUGGACAUGCCUGACUUUAAGGGCCUCUCUGAAAACUCAGACUGCACUGUUGAGUUAAUUUACUUGGUGAUGGAUUUGAAAAGACCCAAUUUGCAAGGUCACUGUUGCACUUUCUCUCUGUGCACAGAGGAAAAACACAGCAGAUGUGACCACUACCAUACGGUGCCUUGCUUUCAUUUUUACCAUAUGCUUCAAUUUGCUGCAGAGGUGAAGCCCACGGAAGCCUUCUACCUUUGAAGAACUACUUAAGGUGAAAUGACUCUGAAGUGCAUUAAAGGGCGUUUACUUUAGGCAUGUUAUUUUUUAUUUUUAUUCCUAUUGGAAUUGUCUAAUGUUAUUCAUUAAACUAACAAUUUCUCCCCUCCUUGUUCUUAAGUGUGAC